rnacentral:rRNA from 1 species
UACGUAGGUGGCAAGCGUUGUCCGGAUUUACUGGGCGUAAAGAGUGUGUAGGUGGUGUCGUAAGUUUGGUGUGAAAUCUCCCGGCUUAACUGGGAGGGUGCGCCGAAGACUGCGAUGCUGGAGUAUGGGAGAGGAAAGCGGAAUUCCUGGUGUAGCGGUGAAAUGCGUAGAUAUCAGGAGGAACACCUGCGGUGUAGACGGCUUUCUGGACCAUUACUGACACUGAGACACGAAAGCGUGGGUAGCAAACAGG